rnacentral:rRNA from 1 species
CCUACGGGAGGCAGCAGUGAGGAAUAUUGGUCAAUGGACGAGAGUCUGAACCAGCCAAGUAGCGUGAAGGAUGACUGCCCUGUGGGUUGUAAACUUCUUUUAUCAAGGAAUAAAACGUGGCACGUGUGCCUGUUUGCAUGUACUUUAUGAAUAAGGAUCGGCUAACUCCGUGCCAGCAGCCGCGGUAAUACGGAGGAUCCGAGCGUUAUCCGGAUUUAUUGGGUUUAAAGGGAGCGUAGGUGGGUUGUUAAGUCAGUUGUGAAAGUUUGCGGCUCAACCGUAAAAUUGCAAUUGAUACUGGCAGUCUUGAGUACAGGUGAGGUAGGCGGAAUUCGUGGUGUAGCGGUGAAAUGCUUAGAUAUCGCGAAGAACCCCGAUUGCGAAGGCAGCUUACUAACCUGUGACUGACAUUGAGGCUCGAAAGUGUGGGUAUCGAACAGGAUUAGAUACCCCAGUAGUC